AGCGAACGCUGGCGGCAGGCUUAACACAUGCAAGUCGAGCGGGCAUAGCAAUAUGUCAGCGGCAGACGGGUGAGUAACGCGUGGGAACGUACCUUUUGGUUCGGACCGACACAGGGAAACUUGUGCUAAUACCGGAUAAGCCCUUACGGGGAAAGAUUUAUCGCCGAAAGAUCGGCCCGCGUCUGAUUAGCUAGUUGGUGAGGUAAUGGCUCACCAAGGCGACGAUCAGUAGCUGGUCUGAGAGGAUGAUCAGUCACACUGGAACUGAGACACGGUCCAGACUCCUACGGGAGGCAGCAGUAGGGAAUAUUGGACAAUGGGGGCAACCCUGAUCCAGCGACGCCGCGUGAGUGACGAAGGCCUUCGGGUCGUAAAGCUCUGUUGCAAGGGAAAAACAAAAUGAUGGUACCUUGCUAGAAAGGAUCGGCUAACUUCGUGCCAGCCGCCGCGGUAA
rnacentral:rRNA from 1 species